rnacentral:lncRNA from 1 species
GAUUAUAAUUGUGAGCCACCACACUUGGUCUUAAGCAAAUAUUAACUCCAAUCACUAUCCUAAGCCAAGGUGUCUGAGCAGCUGAGGGAGGACCAGAGUGAAUGCAGCUAGUGCCACACUGAACAAACCACUCUUGCUCAUUCCUUAGGGAGGAGGACCUGGUUGAUAGAAGAAUUUAUCUCGUAGUCUUAACAUCCACUGUAAUUCCAAACUUUGAGGACGAUAGAGAUCAGUGGGCUUUGACUGCCCAGCAUGCAGUCUCCAUUCUUAGGUGGGUUCCCAAGCCUGUAAAAUGUAAGCCUUAUGCUGCUGAGGGCCAUCUUGCCACCCUGAGGGAAACGCUGCCUGAGAAUGAAACAAGCAUAAGUAAAAGCUGAGCUGUGAGAUGGAGCAAGAUGAAGGCCACAUGACAUCUUUGGAGCACCUGGAUCUAACUGUGCCUUAAGCUAGUCUAACCCUGAACAUUUCAUCAUUUCAUUGACAUGAGCCCAGGUUUUCUUUUUUUUUGGAUGGAGUCUUGCUCUGUCGCCCAGGCUGGAGUGCAGUAGCUCAAUCUCGGCUCACUGCAAGCUCCACCUCCCGGGUUCACGCCAUUCUCCUGCCUUAGCCUCCCAAGUAGCUGGGACAACAGGCGCCCACCACCACUCCCAGCUAAUUUUUUGUAUUUUUAGUAGAGACGGGGUUUUACCAUGUUAGCCGGGAUGGUCUUGAUCUCCUGACCUCAUGAUCCGCCCGCCUCGGCCUCCCAAAGUGCUGGGAUUACAGGUGUGAGCCACUGCACCCAGCCCUCAGGUUUUCCCUUUUUUUACCCCUCCUUUUGAAAAUUUGAUGUGGAAUUUUGCCACCUGCAGCCAGAAGAGUUUUAACUAAUCAGUGCCAUAAAUUUUAUAUAGUUCUCCUUGCAAAAUGUGGAUCAGCCUUUCUCAGCAAAUCCUUUGUCAUAAAGUGCUGAAUUGUAAGUUUGUCAUGAGAAUCACAUGAGAUCAUGCAUGUGAAGAACCUGGCAUUAUCCUCCUCAUAGAAAAAAACCAGUAAAUAUUAACUACAGGAAGCAAGGAAGGAGUGGGGUGAGGGGAAGAAGAAGGGGUACUGAUUUAAAAGAACCCUGGAGUCCUAAGGAUAAUCUAGGAACCCUCAGACCCAAUCCGAUACCCCUAUUCUAAAUGCUCCUAGUGCCCUGUACCUUCCCCUCAUAAGCCUUCAUUAUCAUUGUAAUGAUAUGUUUAUGUAAUAUUUUGAUUAAUGUCUCUCCUUCACUGACCUAGCAGUUCUAGCAGGGCAGUGAUUUUGCUGUGUUGCAUCCCCAGCACCUAGUCUGGUAUGUGGCAUUCAGCAUAUGUUUAUUGAAUGAAUGGCCAUGUGGUUAUUCAGAUCCUCCUUGAUUAUUGGGGUUAGGAUUGUGGCAGAAGUGGCAAAAUCAGGGAGAGUAGUCCCUGUCCCCUCUGUAUCUUAUACACUGCCCACACUCCCAACACACAUACACAUACAGAGAAUUUUGUCUCAAUUAGAUAAUUAACUUCUGCUUGGUUGUAAACCAAACCACUGGUUCUUAAACUUUCAUUGGAUCAUUUUAUUGAAGAAUUAAAUAGUGUGGUUCUGGCCUAAUGUCUGGAAAGCCUUGCAGAGGAGUGGAUUAGGUCUUUGUGAUAAACAGGCAGCCUUCCCUGCUCCUGUGUCUUUAUAAAAUCUAUUUAACUGGAGUAGUCCACCCUCCCUCAGGCUCUUACAGGAAUAUGUUGGAGGCUGUAGGAAGGUGGGAAACCGAGAGGGAAAGGACUGGGCCGCUGGAGACUUCACUCAUUCCCUAGCAAGAAACAAAAGCAGUAAAAGGUGGCCCGAGGACAACCUGAAGCUCACUCCUUCAGCACUUUUGGCUGGAGGUCACUUGUUGGAGCCCCACUCAGAGCUCAGCACACCACCCCACCAGCAGCCUCCUCCUCCCAGCUGAGGCUGCAUUUCAUCCCUUCCCCCAGCCUGCUUUCCCUGAGAUAGGGGAGUGUUUCCCAGGGCCCAUGUGACUUCCACUGGCAAGUGACGAUUACCAAUGGUUUACUAGUCAGUGAAACUACCAAAGGCUUUUGUGCUGUAGUAAUCCUUUUCCUGUUUAAAACUCUGGGGAUUUUCUAAUGUUGCCAAUAGUUUUUCAAGUCAGCAAUUACUGUGUGGAUUAUGUAAUGGCUCGGUAUUAA